AUACGGAGGGUGCGAGCGUUAAUCGGAAUUACUGGGCGUAAAGCGCGCGUAGGCGGUUUGUUAAGUCGGAUGUGAAAUCCCCGGGCUCAACCUGGGACCUGCAUCCGAUACUGGCAGGCUAGAGUCUGGUAGAGGGGGGUAGAAUUCCUGGUGUAGCGGUGAAAUGCGUAGAUAUCAGGAGGAAUACCAGUGGCGAAGGCGGCCCCCUGGACUGAGACUGACGCUGAGGUGCGAAAGCGUGGGGAGCAAACAGGAUUAGAAACCCUAGUAGUCC
rnacentral:rRNA from 1 species